rnacentral:rRNA from 1 species
UACGGGGGAGGACAGCUGUUGUCGAAUUACUGGGCGUAAAGGGUUAGUAGGUGGCCAACUAAGUCAGACGUGAAAUCCCUCAGCUUAACUGGGGAACUGCGUCUGAUACUGGUUGGCUUGAGUGCAGGAGAGGAAUGCGGAAUUCCAGGUGUAGCGGUGAAAUGCGUAGAUAUCGGAAGGAACAUCAGUGGCGAAAGCGGCUUCCUGGUCCAGCACCGACGUUCAGGCACGAAAGCGUGGGGAGCAAACAGG